GUGAGGAAUUUUCCGCAAUGGGCGAAAGCCUGACGGAGCAAUGCCGCGUGAAGGAUGAAGGCCUAUGGGUUGUAAACUUCUUUUCUCAGAAAAGAAUUAUGACGGUAUCUGAGGAAUAAGCAUCGGCUAACUCUGUGCCAGCAGCCGCGGUAAGACAGAGGAUGCAAGCGUUAUCCGGAAUGAUUGGGCGUAAAGCGUCUGUAGGUUGUUUAAAAAGUAUUCUGUCAAAGAUUAGGGCUUAACCCUAGAUAGGCAGAAUAAACUUUUAAGCUAGAGUUUGGUAGAGGCAGAGGGAAUUCCCGGUGGCGCGGUGAAAUGCGUAGAUAUCGGGAGGAACACCAAAGGCGAAGGCACUCUGCUGGGCCAAUACUAACACUGAGAGACGAAAGCGAGGGGAGCAAAUGGGAUUAGAAACCCCUGUAGUCC
rnacentral:rRNA from 1 species